AUUGAACGCUGGCGGCAGGCUUAACACAUGCAAGUCGAGCGGGGGAAGGUAGCUUGCUACCGGACCUAGCGGCGGACGGGUGAGUAAUGCUUAGGAAUCUGCCUAUUAGUGGGGGACAACAUCUCGAAAGGGAUGCUAAUACCGCAUACGUUCUACGGGAGAAAGCAGGGGAUCUUCGGACCUUGCGCUAAUAGAUGAGCCUAAGUCGGAUUAGCUAGUUGGUGGGGUAAAGGACUACCAAGGCGACGAUCUGUAGCGGGUCUGAGAGGAUGAUCCGCCACACUGGGACUGAGCAACGGCCCAGACUCCUACGGGAGGCAGCAGUGGGGAAUAUUGGACAAUGGGGGGAACCCUGAUCCAGCCAUGCCGCGUGUGUGAAGAAGGCCUUAUGGUUGUAAAGCACUUUAAGCGAGGAGGAGGCUACUUUAGUUAAUACCUAGAGAUAGUGGACGUUACUCGCAGAAUAAGCACCGGCUAACUCUGUGCCAGCAGCCGCCGUAA
rnacentral:rRNA from 1 species